AUUGAACGCUGGCGGCAUGCCUUACACACGCAAGUCGAACGGCAGCGGGGGAGAAGCUUGCAUUUCCUGCCGGCGAGUGGCGAACGGGUGAGUAAUACAUCGGAACGUGCCCUGUAGUGGGGGAUAACUAGUCGAAAGAUUAGCUAAUACCGCAUACGACCUGAGGGUGAAAGUGGGGGACCGCAAGGCCUCAUGCUAUAGGAGCGGCCGAUGUCUGAUUAGCUAGUUGGUGGGGUAAAGGCCUACCAAGGCGACAAUCAGUAGAUGGUCUGAGAGGACGAGCAGCCAAAAUGGGACGGAGACGCGGCCCAGACUCCUACGGGAGGCAGCAGUGGGGAAUUUUGGACAAUGGGCGAAAGCCUGAUCCAGCAAUGCCGCGUGUGUGAAGAAGGCCUUCGGGUUGUAAAGCACUUUUGUCCGGAAAGAAAUGGCUCUGGUUAAUACCUGGGGACGAUGACGGUACCGGAAGAAUAAGGACCGGCUAACUACGUGCCAGCCGCCGCAGUAA
rnacentral:rRNA from 1 species